GGGUCGAUGCCCGAGCGGUUAAUGGGGACGGACUGUAAAUUCGUUGACGAUAUGUCUACGCUGGUUCAAAUCCAGCUCGGCCUA
rnacentral:tRNA from 1 species